AUUUUGGUCAUGUUAGGGCAUGUUCCAGCUCUUCAUUUUUUUUUUGGUCAGACUUACCUUUGAGAGUCAUUAUGCCAUGCCUUUGCCCUACAUCUCAUCUACAGGCUUGCAGUUUGGAUGCAUAUGGACACAGUUUCUAGUUUAGAGAUGACCAAAGACAUCUGCAGGUUUCAGACCCAAAUCAGUGCAGAAAAUGGAACAGGGAGGGGGAACAGAUGAACUGCAUGAAACACCAAUCAUGUGGAGAUGUUGCAUAAAGCUGCCAGUGCUCUGGAUGAAAGAGAUAAACAGCACAGCCACCAGCACUUCGUUUUACUGUGAUGAGCAUUUGGAGGCAAGAGAGAAGAAUUGCAUACAGCUGUGAAGCAACAAG